rnacentral:rRNA from 1 species
GAUGGGAGCUUGCUCCCAGGCGUCGAGCGGCGGACGGGUGAGUAACGCGUAGGAAUCUACCCAGUAGCGGGGGAUAGCCCGAGGAAACUCGGAUUAAUACCGCAUACGCCCUAAGGGGGAAAGGGGGGGAACUCUUCGGAGACCUCUCACUAUUGGAGGAGCCUGCGUUGGAUUAGCUAGUUGGUAGGGUAAAGGCCUACCAAGGCGACGAUCCAUAGCUGUUCUGAGAGGAAGAUCAGCCACACUGGAACUGAGACACGGUCCAGACUCCUACGGGAGGCAGCAGUUGGGAAUAUUGCACAAUGGGCGCAAGCCUGAUGCAGCCAUGCCGCGUGUGUGAAGAAGGCCUUAGGGUUGUAAAGCACUUUCAGUAGGGAGGAAUCAACCAAAUUAAUACUUUGGUGAAAUGACGUUACCUACAGAAGAAGAUCCGGCUAACUCCGUGCCAGCAGCCGCGGUAAUACGGAGGGAUCAAACGUUAAUCGGAAUUACUGGGCGUAAAGCGCGCGUAGGUGGUUUUUUAAGUGGGAUG